rnacentral:rRNA from 1 species
UACAGAGGGGGCAAGCGUUGUUCGGAAUUACUGGGCGUAAAGGGCGCGUAGGCGGCCUGCUAAGUCGAACGUGAAAUCCCCGAGCUCAACUCGGGAACUGCGUCCGAUACUGGCGGGCUUGAAUCCGGGAGAGGGAUGCGGAAUUCCAGGUGUAGCGGUGAAAUGCGUAGAUAUCUGGAGGAACACCGGUGGCGAAGGCGGCAUCCUGGACCGGCAUUGACGCUGAGGCGCGAAAGCGUGGGGAGCAAACAGG